UACGAAGGACCCGAGCGUUAUCCGGAUUUAUUGGGUUUAAAGGGUGCGUAGGCGGAUUAUUAAGUCAGUGGUGAAAGCCUUCAGCUUAACUGAAGAACUGCCAUUGAUACUGAUGAUCUUGAGUAUGAUUGAGGUGGGCGGAAUGUGUCAUGUAGCGGUGAAAUGCUUAGAUAUGACACAGAACACCGAUUGCGAAGGCAGCUCACAAAACUGUAACUGACGCUGAGGCACGAAAGCGUGGGUAUCAAACAGG
rnacentral:rRNA from 1 species